rnacentral:tRNA from 1 species
GGUCGAUUAGCUCAGUUGGUUAGAGCGUGGUGCUAAUAGCUUCACCAGCUAUGACACGCCAAGGCCAUGGGUUCAAGCCCCAUAUUGACCU